CCCAGCGCUAUGCGCUGGGCUGAUAUAUAGCGCUCUUUCAGAGCU
rfam:Prevotella marshii DSM 16973 genomic scaffold SCAFFOLD1, whole genome shotgun sequence.